AAUAGAUACCCGGGUAGUCCACGCCGUAAACGAUGAAUGUUAGCCGUCGGGCAGUAUACUGUUCGGGUGGCGCAGCUAACGCAUUAAACAUUCCGCCUGGGGGAGUACGGUCGCAAGAUUAAAACUCAAAGGAAUUGACGGGGGGCCCGCACAAGCGGUGGAGCAUGUGGUUUAAUUCGAAACAACGCGCAGAACCUUACCAGCUCUUGACAUUCGGGGUAUGGGCAGUGGAGACAUUGUCCUUCAGUUAGGCUGGCCCCAGAACAGGUGCUGCAUGGCUGUCGUCAGCUCGUGUCGUGAGAUGUUGGGUUAAGUCCCGCAACCGAGCGCAACCCUCGCCCUUAGUUGCCAGCAUUUAGUUGGGCACUCUAAGGGGACUGCCGGUGAUAAGCCGAGAGGAAGGUGGGGAUGACGUCAAGUCCUCAUGGCUCUUACGGGCUGGGGCUACACACGUGCUACAAUGGUGGUGACAGUGGGCAGCGAGACAGCGAUGUCGAGCUAAUCUCCAAAAGCCAUCUCAGUUCGGA
rnacentral:rRNA from 1 species